UGUGUGUGUGUCUAAAAACAGAGUGAACAAUUGAGCUUACGUAGCUUCCCUUUUUCUCCCCUAAACUGUGGAAAUGUCCAGGUCAGGCUGGUGAGUAAGAGAAACUGAAAAAUGAAACCAGCAAGGAUACUUACAAAUUAUGGUGAUGGCUAGCUUAUCCAUUGUCACAGUGGACCAAGUCAUCUGUGAGCUUUACUUUGGCAAUUUGCUCUUUAGAGAUCUUGUCUGUGCGUGGGCUUCUUGCCUGAGGUUAGAGCUGUUCCACAUGGCCUUGCUGCUUAAACAUAACACCAGGCCAUCUGAUAUGCCCAGAUAAAGAACAACAAAGUAAUCAGAUAUGUUUAUAAUCUUGGUGCACAGUAAGAAAACAUCUGGCUAUUAUAGAUGAUUUAGACUAAUCUGUGAUAUUAAUACCAGUCUUCAUCCCAUGAUAGUUCCAGGACACAGACGGAAGUAUUUUGCAAGCUGCUACUGCUCUAGUGGCUAAUAUGUAGACAAAUUUUCCUGUGCUCUUCUGGAUGAUUGUAGCAUGAGAAUUGAUUAAUAGUGUUUUGGUGAGACCUCUAAUGUCCCAGAUUGAACAAGUGAGUGCUGACUUAGUGUGACGGUACUGGAAGUCUGUGAGUAGCUGGAGAUAAAUUGAAAUGUCACCAGGAUGCAUGGAUGCCUGUCUAUCUGCUACCCUUCAUUUCCUCUUUCCUUAGCCAUGAAGCUUUGCUAAUUGACCUUCCCAUACUUGAUAAUCUGAAUAUAAAUAUUGACACUGUGCUCAGUAUUGUGAGACAGAUAAACAAGGAGGAUUUAGGCUACUAAUGUCAAUAUCAUAAACAAUGGAUUGCAAAAAUAAUGAAGAUAGUAUUAGUUACAGUAGUAGACGUAAUUACAGUACUAGUAGUAGCUGCGAGAAUAACCAUAGUGUUCAUAGUAGCUAGGCCUGAUUGUUGGGUAGGAUAUGAGCACUUUGAUGUUCCUUACAGAAGGUUUGCUUAGUGAUUAAUGAUAUCUCAGUCAGAAGAGUACCAUGUGGCCACAGCCUGGAUAUGGUAUAUUUAUAGUUAGCCACUGUGGCCUCUGAUCCAAUCUCCAUAUCCCCAGUUAAUUCCUCCUAUAUGAACAAUAAUAAAUUCACUCUUUUAGUAACAAGCCUUGGGAGGGCUAACUCUCUGUACCAUUAUUCUUCACGAGAAUGAGAGCUGCCUGUGGAUAGGGGCUGGGUUUUAUUCACCAUGGUAUGCCUAGGGGACACCCAGUACAGAGGCUGGCACACACAUGUAAUUGAUGCGCAUUUCUUGAAUAAAGGAACCAAUUAUACCAGUCACUAAUGUCAGAAGAAUUAUGAUGUGGUCGUUACCUUCACAACAGCUAAGUUUCCAAGGAAUAGGUAGAACGUGUGAGAUUCCAGGCACAGGGCUGUUGGCCUUAGGGAGCAAGGUUGAGCUACAGGAACAUGGUGAGUGAUUGACGAAGGCCACAGGGAAGCCAAAAGGGCAGUCAUCAUCUGACAUUCCAGAUUUUGCAACAAUCACGACCAUUUCUUUAGUCAACACUUUAGUAGAUACAGAGAAUGCUGGUAAGUGCUCUAUUCUAUCUCAUUUUAUCUCUCCAGAGUAUAGAUGAAAGCAGAUUAUUAUUCCAGUUUUAUAGUUAAAGAUUCCAGGGUUUAUAGAGGCUAAUUGUGUUGCUCUAGGAAACCAAGCUAAAUAAUAAGAGCAUAUAUAUAUAUAUAUCCAGAUCAAAUUGAUUCCAAUGCUCUGAACUUAAAGCACCAGGUUACACUGAGUUUAUUAGCUAGAUAUUUAUGUUUAUGCUGUCUAUUGUCUCUGGCUUUAAAAAAUUGUUUUUUU